AUUUCUUUAUUCUUUUAUUCUUUAAAAAGGGGGCAUUGGGAGGCGUGAAACUCAUCACCUUCCCAAGAAAAACCCUAGCCCCACUUUGCUCCCACCAUAGCCGCCGCCACUCUCCGCCGCCGCCGCACGCCGCCGCACGCCGCCGCACGCCACCGCACGCCACCGCCGCCAGCUGCGAAAAUAACCCUCGGAGCCGGCCGUAGUAGAGCCGAACCACCAUCCCAGCCGCGCCGCGUCUGCAAGCCGAAUCCGGAGCCGCUCCUCAUCCGCGCAGCCGAGCGCCGUAUCCGCAGCCAGCCACGCCGCGCCGCGUAGAUCCGACGCAGCGCAGCCGGGACUCGUCGAGACAGCCGAAGCCAGCCAGCCGCGCCGCUCCGAUCGAAGCCGAAGGGAGCCGCUUCGAUCCGCGCACAGCCGUCUCCCGCAGCCGCCACUCGAAGCCGAUCCGCCGCGCGUGCCUCCAGCCGUCGAAGCCGAACCCACGUUUCGGCCGACGCCCGAACCCGAAACCGAUCCGCGCCCGCUCGCCCGAAACCGACCCGCGCCCGCUCGCCCGAAACCGAACCCGCUCCACGCUCGCGCACGCCCGCUCCGAGUCGCAAGCCGAGCCCGCGCGCGCCCAUCCCACGCCACGAGCCGCGCCGGUCUGCACCACAAGCCGCGCCGCGCCGCCUGCACUGCAAGCCGAGCCGCGCCUCCUUGCUGACGCGAGCCGAGCCGCACGCGCAAGAUCCUUGCGCCAAGCCGAGCCGAGCCGAUCUCUGUCUCCUUCCAGCCGAGCCGCCAAGCCUAAUUUGGCUCCUUCCACCUAAUUUUUGGGACGUCUUGGACCAAGUAACUGCUGCAGCGGGGGAUUUCUUCAGUAGGGGCUUGAGCACUGCAAUCUCCUUCUAGGUUAGGACCUCGUCGCUUGGAAAGCGUACUGCCUCGCGGUUAGGACUCGUCAAGUAAAUCUCCAGGUAAGAGAUUCUACUACUAGCUCCACGCUUAGAAAUAUGAGAUGAUGUAUACUCCAAUUUUGCAUGUUGGGGAUUGGACGGUACGAUGCCUGAAAUCAAUGUUAGUAUGAUGUAAAUGACGGUAUGGCUAUACUAUAGCCUGUUAUGUGUGGCGAGAGCCGUUAUAGUUAUACGACGAAUGUCGAGACGGAGAGGGCAGAGAUGAUUUAUAUGAUAUGUUAUAUGCUGAUGCCAUGUGUAUGUAUACUGCACUUAGGGUACCUGUUAGCUCGAUCUGUUAGAGUCGUACCUGCAUGGGUGUCCUUCGGGAUCACCACCUAUUGAGGACUGUGUGGUCCGACGGGACGCCAGUCUAGCAUGGAUAUAGAUAUGACUCGAGUGACUCGACGGGGUCCUCGCAUCCCGACUGUCCUAGGUGUCCCUCGGGGCACCGAAGACCAGAGUUACGUUCCUACGGGAGCGCAUGAUUGCACGUGUUCGGGAACGUGCCAGAGAUUGGGUACCAGUUAUCAGGACUCUAACAGGAAGUUAACAGGCACCUAGUGGGACUAGUAGUGGGUCCCUUACUGAGUAUUUUUAUACUCACUCUCUUCGUUUUAUGUUUUCAGGUAGAGGACGGGGCAAGGGCAAGGGCAAGCUGGCGAGCGACCCGAAGUGAGACCGUGGAGGGCCAUAGGGACUACCGCUUCCGCUUAUUCUUAUUUCAGAUUUUCGCGUUUGAAAUUGAGUACUUUACAUCACUUACCAUCUUUUAUGUAGAUAGGGCCCGAGUAGGAUUUCAGAUUGCUUUUACGUUUCUGCAUGACUACCUUGUUUGAAUUUUAUAAAUAAAAUUUCUUAAACCGUAUGCGUUUUGAAAUUUUUCAAGACUUAAACCACUUGUUCUAU